CAGGUAAAAUUCUCCCUUAAAUAGGAUUCUCAUUAUUGUUCUUUUAGGAUCCGAGAGUUAUUUUAUUUGGGUAUCGAAUUGUGAUUGUCACAUUGUCACAGAUCAGCAGUGACUUGUGCAUAAUGAAUUACUGUUCUUUCUUACAGGUUGCAAGUAAACCUCUAAUGAUUGUAGGGUCUAAUUAGCAACAGUGUCAACUCUUUUAACUAGAAAUAAUUGAUUAAAAACUUUCACUGUGAGAGGUAGGAAGAAGCAGGCUGUCUUUCUUUGUCUCUUCUUGAGCUCGAGGAAACUCCCUAGCACCCCUAAAGCAAACCUCAUUGCUCAAGGCGCAGCUCAGGUUUAGCCCCACAGCACUCCCUGGACGUGGAAUCUUCAGGAAUGGUUUAAACCUCACCAUGUGCUCUCUGAGGGCAGACAAGAAUGCCUGCUUCCUUAAGCGUGCAGAAUAGUAAACACUCCCCAAAUUGAACUUAUUCAGAGGAUGACUAAUAUAGAGGGGAAAAAAUCUAAUUGCUGGGCAACUCAGUAUCCCCACCAGUUCGAAUCUGGGUUUUCUGCCUUCAAUUUCCAUGCUCAUUUCAUUUCCCAAUUAUGUCUCCCUUUUAGCUCCACCCAUUCCUAAGAAACACCCAAUUUAAAAAAAGCACUGGAGCUCACGUGUCACUGGAUGAGAAAAGAAACUCUGUGUCACAGCAUGUAAUUCUGAACUAUAUGAUUUUCCUAAAGGUCUUGGACUUCAGGUGAAAGACGUUCUGUCAGCCAGGAUUCAGGAACAUCCCUCAGGAAGAGAGAGCUACCUGCUGCUUUGUCUGUGUAUUGUGCCCAGAGAGAGAAAUAUGUAAUCAGACAGAAAAGAAAAGUGUCUGGGGGGCUCAAGUUUGAGUUGAAACCAGGCUCAGGGUCCACCUGUCCUCGCUGAUCCGUGGAUUUCUGUGUGACCAGCUGACACCUAUGGAGCUGUGGCCCUGACUACUACCACUUUGGGGCACAACCUGAAGACCCUCACAGUCACCUUCCCCAUCUCCACCCUCCAGUAUUCAUCAGACAGGAGCAAUGGCUCAGCCACGUUCCACUCCACUGAGAGGGUCCUGCAGAGCCUGGUGAGACCCUGGUUCCAGCAGCUCCUGGCCUGAGAAGGAUGGGGGAGCCACCUGAGUGGACGCUGUCUGCACCCACCGCCGUGACCCCGUGGGCCACCAUGCCUCUGUGCUGGGAGCUGACAGUCUCCACGUGUCUGCUCUUCCUCUCGGUGGCUCCAGGCUCUGCACCCUGGAGUUUAUGCAUGCAGAGAGAACACCAGCUGCAUUUCCCCAGCAUCAACUGGAACCUCAGCAACCCGGAGCCCACAUCCUCGGAGUACACCGCCCUGCUGAGGGACACCCAGGACCAGAAUAUUCUCCCAACAGAGAUGACACCUUGACUGAGAAGCCUGGUAAACCUGCAGGAAGCCCCAGCCCACGGUAGGGGGCGAGUAUCUUGAUGCUGUGCCUCAUUGAAGAGAACCAUGCGCACAGGGUCUUGGAUGAUGAGGAAAGUUGGCCAACCCUUGUCAAGGACAGUUGAGGCACAGUGGGGUCAGCAGGAGCCCUGGGGCGAUGACAGGAGGUGGCUC